UCUCCGUUGGUGAACCAGCGGAGGGAUCAUUACAGGACUCGCAAGACUCCUACAACCCUGUGAACUUAACUAUAAGCACGUUGCUUCGGCGGGUGUCUCGGAGGGGGUUCUCCCUCCCCGAGACGCUAAACCCGCCGGCAGUCUACUAUACUCUGUCUCUUUGCGUUGGCAUCUCGAGUACAAUCAAACAAGUUAAAACUUUCAACAACGGAUCUCUUGGUUCUG
rnacentral:misc_RNA from 1 species